rnacentral:rRNA from 1 species
CGAACGCUGGCGGCAGGCUUAACACAUGCAAGUCGAACGCGCCCUUCGGGGCGAGUGGCAGACGGGUGAGUAACGCGUGGGAACCUACCUUUCGGUUCGGAAUAACCCAGGGAAACUUGGGCUAAUACCGGAUGCGCCCUUUGGGGGAAAGAUUUAUCGCCGAAAGAUGGGCCCGCGUCGGAUUAGCUAGUUGGUGGGGUAAUGGCCUACCAAGGCGACGAUCCGUAGCUGGUCUGAGAGGAUGAUCAGCCACACUGGGACUGAGACACGGCCCAGACUCCUACGGGAGGCAGCAGUGGGGAAUAUUGGACAAUGGGGGCAACCCUGAUCCAGCCAUGCCGCGUGAGUGAUGAAGGCCUUAGGGUUGUAAAGCUCUUUUCACCGGUGAAGAUAAUGAACGUAAACCGGAGAAAGAGCCC